UACGUAGGGUGCGAGCGUUGUCCGGAAUUACUGGGCGUAAAGAGCGUGUAGGCGGCCAUACAGGUCAGCUGUGAAAACUCGAGGCUCAACCUCGAGACGUCGGUUGAAACCGUAUGGCUAGAGUCCGGAAGAGGAGAGUGGAAUUCCCGGUGUAGCGGUGAAAUGCGCAGAUAUCGGGAAGAACACCUAUGGCGAAGGCAGCUCUCUGGGACGGUACUGACGCUGAGACGCGAAAGCGUGGGGAGCAAACAGG
rnacentral:rRNA from 1 species